rnacentral:ncRNA from 2 species
GCGGGAGAGCGCGGGACUCGUCCCGCCGCCGAAGGAGCAACCGCCCCGGAAUCUCUCAGGCCAAACGGACCGC